ensembl:lncRNA
UGCUCUCAUGGGGCUUUUAUUGUCCGGCUGCCCUCGCCUCCCACCCUGCUGCCCAUGGCUGAGCCCUUCAGCACCACCCACGGCUGCAGAGAAACCCCAGCCCUGCUCAUCCCCAAGCCCAGCCACCUGCCUGGGGCAGCACAUUCUUCCCAGCUCUUUUUUGGGGUUUGGUGGGUUUUUUUGUUUGGUUUUUUUUUUUCUUCUUUUUUAAUAUUUAUUUUAAAAAUAUAGUAGCUGUGGAAAGCAGCCCUCUUUAUAAAUGCUUGAUGCCAGAGUGAAAUGCAUCAUUGGCAUCCUCGUUCCUAACCCCUCCUGGGUGCCCCUGUCUGCCAGCAGCAGUGCCGGGGCUGGGGAGGCUGCUCGGGCUGCUGCAGGCAGAGAGGCUCUCAUUGGCAGGGAGAGAAAGAGAGAGGGACCCUUCUAAAAAUAGAAAUAUUGUGCUGAGUCGUUUGGAGUGAAUGAAAUACAUAAAACACCAGCAUUAGAUUAGCUUUAGCUCGUCAGAUAUUGCUCCCGGCAGAGUUGGUGCAGGGCGCUGGUGGAGGCUCAGUCCUCCUCAGCCUGGGCCAGGGCAGCCACGCUGGCCCCAGCCCCCUCCCCACUGCAGGGGUCCCUGCUCUCACCCACCUCGAGGACACUGGCCCACGGAGCCGAUAUAAAUAGGAAACUGUAAACACAAUCAUUGGAGAUAAGAGACAUCUAUGAUCACAGGGUUUACUGCUUCAAACCCCCCACCCUCCCCCCCAGUCCGCACCCCUAUGCCCUUGUCCCCGCUCCAUAAAAAGGUCUCCAGUAACAAAAUCUUCGAUCCAGGCUUGGAGUAAAGGUGAGGUGCUCGGGGAGUAAAAAGGGACAUUGCAACCUUAGCAGUCUUUGCUUGGGAGGGGAGAUGGUGGCAGGAGGGGGAGAGAGGGUCAGCUGGUUCAGGUCCUUUGCAAGUCCAUUUGGUUUGUCUGGAGGACUCCUAGGGUUAUACCUGAGAUGAAGACGUCUAGAGGACACUCCAUAGCUCAAUUAGAAUACUGUUGGUGUUUUUGUGCCUAGAAGAGCCCUCACUGCCGGGAUUUGCCUGUCGUGCUUGCACCGGGCAGCAGGAAAGCAGCAUCAUCCCUCUUCCACUCGGCACGGGGCCAUCUGAACCAACACUGCACUGGGGGACCCCUCAUGUGUCCAGGAUCUCGCUGGUGGGCGACGGCUCAUGGGGGAUGCCCUGUGUGCUGUGGAUGGUCUGGUUGUGUGAGAGGGAGUUCUGCUGGAGCUCCAGGGCGAUGGCAUUCUGUGGGAACUCCUUCACCUGCCGCUUGUACUCCAGGAAGGUGCAGGCCUUGGUGGCGAUCGCAAUGAUGUUCUUGCCGAUAAAGAUGGUGGAGACCCUGCUGUCCUGGAACAAGAUCAUGUUGAUGGCCCGGAUGAAGAUGGUGACGAUGUUGAUGGUGACCAGGCUGAGGACGGGGUAGAGCAUCAUUUUUUGUGGGGCAAUGUGCUCCCCUUGCAUGCUGAUCUCACUGAGGGACACGCAAGGCAGGAUCAGGAGGAGUAUGUAGCAGUAGAAGAACAUGAGCCCCUCUGCCCAGAUGGGCAGGCCGGUCCUGUGUGGCUCCCACAGGUUGGCCUGGAUGUCCAAGAUAUCCAGCAGGUCAAGGGCCACCCAGAAUAGGCGUCCCCGCAAGUCCUCUUUCUUCCGAAAGGUCCGUAUGUACUCCAUGCUGUCCAAGGCCACCAGCACCAGGUAGAGCCCUGGCACGCAGAUGGAGAGCAGUAGGGUCAGAGCUUUCCUGGCCACCGUCUCCAGGUUCUUCUUGUCUGCUUUGUAAUUCUGAAAGAUGAAGUACAGCUUGAUCUCCAGCACAAAGAUGUAGAGGAACCACAGGAUCAUGGCAUAGCCCCGCUUGGCCGUCUUCACCUCGGCACCCACCCACACGGCCACGUAGCGCAGCACAAUCAGGAAGCAGAUGUCCCCCACCAGCACGAUGAUGCAGACGCCAAUCUUGCGGGGUCCCUGGUUCUGCUCCACCAGAUAGGCAUCCAUGAAGGCCAUGCUGGUCAUGAUGACGAUGGUGGUCAGGCAGACGUGGCGCUUGUCAGGCGGCGGCAGCACCAUGGUGAGGCGGGCGGCCCUGCGUCCCUCGGCGCCGGCACUAGGGGAGCGAUCCCGCCGGCGCUGCGCGGGGGCACAUCCGCGGCCAGCCCAGGGACCGAGCGCCGCUCUGUCCCCCGCUGCCACCCCAGGAAGAGGUGCCUGGAGGAGCAGUGGCUCGGCCGGCAGCCCCACUGUCCCAGGGCUCGGGGCUGCCCCUGCAG